rnacentral:rRNA from 1 species
UGAGUAGGCGGUUGCAUAUGUCAGAUGUAAAAGGCACAGGCUUAACUUGUGUUAGCAUUUGAAACUGCGCGACUUGAGUGCAGGAGAGGUAAGUGGAAUUCCUAGUGUAGCGGUGAAAUGCGUAGAUAUUAGGAGGAACACCAGUGGCGAAGGCGACUUACUGGACUGUAACUGACGCUGAGUCACGAAAGCGUGGGUAGCAAACAG